rnacentral:lncRNA from 1 species
AUGCCUUUGAGUCGAGCUCUGAGGCUCUGCUUCCCCGACAACCCCCUUUGUUCAGUGCACAGUCGGUGGGUUGAGUCAGCGAGAGGAGAGGGAGGCUGUGCUUCAGAAGAAGAAGAAAAAAAGAAUCCGACAAGAGCCAGAGGCAAAAAAAACAACAUAUAUAUAUCUGAGUUCAGCCAGGAAGCCAGACGACAGGGAAGGUGCGUUCAAGUGCUGUUGAUGCUGAUGCUGCGGUUUCUUGCUCGGAAACCGUCAUCAGAGGGAGCCGGUGGUUCGGCCACGGAGACAGCGACACAUGUCUGCCUUUUUUUUUUCUCCCGGUGGGGGUGAGCUGCUCCGGCUCCGGGUCCUGAAGGAAUGAACCGGCAUCCCGACCACUGAUCCUCCUCAUCCUCCUCCUCAUCCUCCUCAUCCUCCCGCUGCAGUCGUCGCCAUCAUCCACCCGAUCUGAUCCCGCGCCGGCUCCAGCUCCUGCUCGGCUCAGCAUCCAUAUUUGCAUCAUCCCAGGGAGUGGCAACCACUGAUCCCACUUCCUUUUCUUGCUCCAGGAGAGGAAACAAAAUUGAAAAGUUGAGUAUUUUCCACCUCCUAUUAUUAUUAUCAUCAUUAUUAAUGAUGAUAAUAAUAAUAUUUUGUAUUUUAUGUUUUUGCUGUGAAAGUGCUUGAGGGGUGUUUUGCUGGAAGUGAAGGGCAGUGUGUGUGUGUGUGUGUGUGUGUGUGUGUGGACCACGUUGUCGCAGUAUAGCUACAACAAUGGAUCAAACCGGCGUUGUGUUACAUUUUUGGUGGAGGUGCGCAUUGUCAUCCCGACGCCUUCAGGCCUCUGUGUGUAUGUGUGUGUGUGUGUGUGAAUUGCUCAGGAUAAACCUCAGCAGUCGGCACUUGCAGGCCUCACCUUUUUUUCUUUUCUUUUUUUUUGUACUUUAAUCCAACCAAAACCAUCUUUCUCUACAGGUCCAAUAGGUCUGAAUAAACAUGCUUCCCUUCUUUUUCUUUCCCCCAUCAUCUGUGUGUGUGUGUGUGUGUGUGUAAACAAAUCAUAGGGGGGAAAAAAAAAAUCUGAAUCUGAAAUCUGCUUUUUUAAUUCCAAGGGUCUGGUUUUUUAAAAGCCUCGACCACACGUGUGUGUGUGUGUGUGUGUGUGUGUGUGUGUGUGUGUGUGUGUGUGUGUGUGUGUGUGUGUGUGUUGUUUAUUGUAUUCAGCAUUUAAUGGCAUUAAAUCUUCUCGAACGGCGUCCGAGCCAUAAUUUGUAGGCCGGCGUGCUCCACUUGGGUAAUGCCGGCCCCUACGUUGGCUUCCUGUCACAUUCACAGCCUGUGGGGGGAAAAUUGUGAUAAGUUGACCAUGAAAAAAAGAAACGCACGAAGAAGCGGGGGUGUUGUUAAUGGAAGUGGGAUUUGCUGUGACGAAUGUGGUGAUUAGAAACGUCGAAACGAUGUCGGUUUUAAAGGUACAAUUGGAAUUUCCGGGUGUUUAAAUAGUCAACAUGGAUGAAACUAAUGUAAAAAAAAAAUGACUUCAAUAUAUGUCGGCUUUGGUGCGUAGGAGUUUCUCCGGUCUACUACAGAGUUGGGGCUCUUGAUGAAUAUGCUGAGGGCUGCCUGCCUUGCUCAGGGGCACUACAGAAGCAGUGUGGUCGUGGUUAUGACAAUGUGGGAAGGAAGCACAGACCUCAAUGGUUACUGUAAUGUGGAAAAACAGAAAUUGUUUUUGUUGCCACUGUUCCGAAUGACAUGGCGGAAUUUGCGUCUGACUCGGAAAUGUGAACAAAUCCUUAUAUGGUGCUAUGUCUCCCCCCUGCCAAGGAGACUCUGUGAUUGGUUCGGUUUGUUUGUUUGUUUGCAGGAUUACUCAAAAAUAAAUCAUGGACGGAUUUGCAUGAACAUUUGAUGAAAGAUAUGUCUGGGCCAAGGUAACAUGCGAUAAGAUUCUUCAACCAUAGCGAGAUGAUGGCAAAACUUUUUGAAUCAUAUCUUCACGAAUGCUUUUGCAUUUACAAGAAUAUGUAGGUCAGAUGGAGAUGGAGAAUAUACUAUUCGGGUGAAACAGCAUAUGGUAAGUGGUAAGUUUAGCUUCUACAGUCUUAUUGACCCCUCAAAGAGCUCACCCAUUCACGGAGGGUCACUAUUUAAGGGUUAAGUGUCCUGCCCAAGGGAUCGAACCCCCGACCUUCUGCUUGGUGGACGACCCUCUCUAUCUGCUGAGCCUUGGUGGAGGUCUGCACUCUCUGAAUGAGUAUUACUGGUGUAUUUGUUUGCAGGAUUACACAAAAAAUCUGCUUAAGAAAUGGAUUUCUGGGAUUUGUUACGCUUAUUUCUCUUAAGCAGAUCCGCAAAGUUAAGCCUAAAAACAUUUGUUACCUUGGUUUUCAUGGAACAUAGUUACGUAGGAGUGAAGACGAGACAAGAAAAUCCCUUCAGGUUUUCCCAAAAUUUGGUCAACUUUGAACGCAUCUAAAGUUUGUACAAAAUGUCAAAUAUGGACAUUUCCAAGUAACGAUAAGAUUGUAAAUUGGCUACAUGUUAUGCACCCUGUUAACGUCUUGCUCCUGUAGUAAAACAGUUGUCCAUGAUUCUACAUUGUCCCCAACAGAUGUGGAGGUUUCGACGCUCAAGCGUCCGCUUGAAGCUUUCAGCUCAAUCGCCCCUUGUAUAUUCUUGUCAAUUGCUCCCAUAUGUGCGACCGCCUUAUUCCCU